ACGGGAGGCAGCAGUGGGGAAUAUUGGACAAUGGGGGAAACCCUGAUCCAGCGACGCCGCGUGAGUGAAGAAGUAUUUCGGUAUGUAAAGCUCUAUCAGCAGGGAAGAUAAUGACGGUACCUGACUAAGAAGCCCCGGCUAACUACGUGCCAGCAGCCGCGGUAAUACGGAAGAUGCGAGCGUUAUCCGGAUUUAUUGGGUUUAAAGGGAGCGUAGGCGGACUGUUAGGUCUGUGGUCAAAUGUCAGGGCCCAACCUUGGCAUGCCAUGGAAACCGGCGGUCUUGAAUACACGCAAGGCAGAUGGAAUUCGUCGUGUAGCGGUGAAAUGCUUAGAUAUGACGAAGAACUCCGAUUGCGAAGGCAGUCUGCUGGAGUGCGAUUGACGCUGAGGCUCGAAAGCGCGGGUAUCAAACAGGAUUAGAUACCCUGGUA
rnacentral:rRNA from 1 species